UGAAUACGAGAUGCUACGGCGUCGAAGCAGUGUAUGUCAGACUUCCAAGAAAAGCUCGCAAUGUCAUAAAUAAAGAAUGCCUGUACCAUAACCGACACAGGUGGGUAGGUAGAGUAUACUAAGGGGCGCGAGAUAACUCUCUCUAAGGAACUCGGCAAAAUAACUCCGUAACUUCGGGAGAAGGAGUGCCUUCUUUAAGAAGGUUGCAAUAACAAGAUCCAAGCAACUGUUUAUCAAAAACACAGGUCUCCGCUAAGUCGUAAGACGAUGUAUGGGGGCUGACGCCUGCCCAGUGCCAGAAGGUUAAAGAAGCUGGUUAGCAAUAGCGAAGCUGGUGACUGAAGCCCUGGUGAACGGCGGCCGUAACUAUAACGGUCCUAAGGUAGCGAAAUUCCUUGUCGGGUAAGUUCCGACCCGCACGAAAGGCGUAAUGAUUUGGAUACUGUCUCGGAGAGGGACUCGGUGAAAUAGACUUGUCUGUGAAGAUGCGGACUACCUGCACCAGGACAGAAAGACCCUAUGAAGCUUUACUGUAACCUGAAAUUGAAAUUGGACAUUAUUUGCGCAGUAUAGGUGGGAGGCGUUGAAAGUAAUCUUGCGGGAUUAGUGGAGCCAUCAGUGAGAUACCACUCCUAUAAUGUUAGAUUUCUAACUUUGGAUCAUGAUCUGGUCAAAGAACAGUUUCAGGCGGGCAGUUUGACUGGGGCGGUCGCCUCCCAAAUGGUAACGGAGGCGUACAAAGGUUUCCUCUGAACGGGUAGAAAUCGUAUCUAGAGUGUAAAGGCAUAAGGAAGCUUGACUGUGAGACCUACAAGUCGAGCAGGGACGAAAGUCGGUCUUAGUGAUCUGACGGUGCUGAGUGGAAAGGCCGUCACUCAACGGAUAAAAGUUACUCUAAGGAUAACAGGCUGAUCUCCCCCAAGAGUUCACAUCGACGGGGAGGUUUGGCACCUCGAUGUCGGCUCAUCGCAUCCUGGGGCGGUAGUACGUCCCAAGGGUUGGGCUGUUCGCCCAUGAAAGCGGUACGCGAGCUGGGUUCAGAACGUCGUGAGACAGUUCGGUCCAUAUCCGGUGUAGGCGUUAGAAUAUUGAGAGGAGCCUUCUCUAGUACGAGAGGACCGAGAAGGACAUACCUCUGGUGUACCAGUUAUCGUGCCAACGGUAAACGCUGGGUAGCUAUGUAUGGAGAGGAUAACCGCUGAAAGCAUCUAAGUGGGAAGCCCACCUCAAGAUGAGUAUUCUCA
rnacentral:rRNA from 1 species